UGAUGUAUAUGACUUUAGCAUGGCUUUGCAGGUAAAUAUUCAACUUAAUGUAAUGCGUGUUAAACUUUUUUAUUAAAUAGAUAAGUUUUUUUUUUGGCAGUUGUGGGCAUAUGAGGUUAUCCCUACUUUGGGUAGCAAAUGGGCGAUCAGAAGGGAGACUAACUGCCCACGAAUGCUUCAUUGGCGAGCACAUGAGAAGCCAUCGGCUAAGAUUUGACAGUUAUCCUCAACGAUCCUCAGGUGAGUAUUGUAUAUUUGCAAUUUAUAUUGUACGUACAUUUAUUCGGCUUGAUACUUGUUCGUUAACACGUUGAAAUAUGAUAUGUCAACUCGAAGUUCAUGCUGAGUUGGUUGUUUCGAUGAAAGAAGAAGAUCAAAUAUAUGUACGUGAAUUACAUGUUCCACCUACUGAAAACGAUCCAGUGUUUGAGUCUGUUCCGAAUAGAAAUAGAGUAUGUUUAUUUAAAAUCAUUAUUUAUUUUGACUUAUAAUAUUUAUGUGUGAAUUAUUAAUAUUAAUUGUCUUCUCUGUGUAGGAGCGUCAUCUAGUAGAACGACGAGCAUUUUCACUUAGGAGAUUUCCUUCACAUCCACCGAUGAGAUCUCCGUCGCCUCCACUGAUGAGAUCACCUCUACCGCCAUUAUCACAUUCUCCGAGGAGAUCUCCAUCUCGCGCACCCACCCAUCUCUCACGUGGAUCGCCUGCACCUAGUCAGACCCGUCAUUCAGAUGAUUUCUUUGCACGCAUGACUGGUAUUAUUAGAGAGGAGUUGGGAAUGAUGCGACGUGAUUUUACGACAGAGGUAGUAGCACUACGAGAGGAGAUAGGGUUGUUGCGACGGGAUUUUACGAUAGAGGUAGUAACACUACGAGAUGAGAUUGGAGUGCUGCGAUGAGAUAUAGGAGACCUUCAUACCGAAGUUGCAGCACUUCGAGGUGGAGGUGCAGGAGGAGGCCGAGAUAGAGGGGAUGGAGGAAGGGACGGGUGUCGGAGGGGGUGACCGAGGAGGUAGCGGAGGGGAUACCAGAGGUGGUAGUAGAGGGGGUUGCAGAGGGUGAGAAGACGCCAGAGAUGACAGAUGACGAUGUAAUAUUUGUGUCGGAGGGGGUGAUGGAGGUGCCGAAGGGUAAGAAGCGUGCUAAUGACGCGCCAGAGCUGAUGGUCGGUAAGAGAUCGAGAUUGUCAUCACAGUACAUCGUCUCCCCAUACACGAUCGAGGCGAAGAGAAGGGGUUUUGUUGAUGGGACGUUUCCCAAUCUUUUUUGUGACGUCGACCUGGUGAUUGGUUCAAAUCCCUUAAGUUCGAGUAAGUAUUUUAUUAUUUUGCUACUCUUUUUUUUGUUUUUUCGUAACUUUUUUUCAUUUUUCUGAGAUAGCUAUACCAUCAACAGUAUGAUUGUGCUCAACGCUAAAAAGUGGUUCGAAAAUGUAUUGACGACCUCAGCUUGACUCGCCGAUGAUGUAAGUUUUUUGAGUUUCCAUUUAUUAUGUUUAUAGAAGUUGUUGGUUCAUUUACUUAAACGACUUUAUCUUUUUGUUGGUGUUUUUUUGUAUCAGCAUAUCAACUUGGUUAUGGAAUUGUUACGCAAUCGGGCUCGGAGAUACCCGAGAUCUUAUGACAGUCCUAGUCGAGUUAUCCUAAACUCUGAGUUUGUGUGGUAGAUAUUGAGCAUCACGAGCUCCUAAGCAAGAGGAAUGAAUAUGUUCUGUCUGAGUACAUGCUGGAGUGGAUGAUCGGGCUACAGCUGAGGUGCGGAAAGUCGUGGACGGAUUGUACAUGUAUGUACAUUCCAGUGAUCGCGAACUCACACUGUUUUUCAAUGGAGAUCGUAUUUGCUGAUUCCACUAUGUAUGUGUACGACUCUUAUCAUAGCUGUCUGACACAAAGUCAACUGGAGCAAAUAUUGGAGCCAAUAGCUGUGAUCGUGCCCAUGAUGGCUAGUCAUGCGAUGAUCGAGCAAAUGACAAAUUAGUCAUUGUGCAGAACGUGACGACGACAAGACAAGAAAGAUCGUAAGGAUUUAAAACUUUUUAAUUUUAAGAUUUAAUUUUCAGUUAUAUGUUAUCGAACUAAUAUAUUUUUCUUCGGUUACAGGGGCAACUGUGACUUAUUUGCAAUAAAGUACAUAGAAUUUUUUAGCAUUGGUUGCAAUGUUGAUACAAUAAAUCAGUCUUGGAUUGAUACGUGGAGGCAUAAAUUAGCUUGUGAUUGUGAUCCUUAGUGCAUUGUAUAUUAUUUUAUUAAAAUGUAAAUGUUGCUUACUUCAGUAUGAUUCGUGUUGUAAUGUAAUAACUUUUUUAAAUAUUUAAUUAGAGAAAUACUUAAAUGAAAA
rnacentral:lncRNA from 1 species